GGGCAGACGAAAUUCUAAGCUGGAGACAGGCUGGAUUGGAAGCUAAUGCCCUGAGGGAGCAAAGGCUGAGAAGCAGCUUCCCAAACAGCCUCUUAUGGAGGAAAGCCCAGGCAAACACAAGGAUCAGCGUGAGCCAUUGAUGACAUAGUUCAGACCCAUUUCAGGAGCCCACAGUGUAUUGAGUUCUGUGAAGAAUGCCAAAAGUUGACCCCUGUGACAUGGACACACAUGGUAAUUGAAUCUGCCUCAGAGCGGCUGGUGAAUCCCCUACCUAUCCCCAGUGGACCAAGAGAGAAAACAACAGCAAGCUAAGCCAAUUGUUCCACCCCAUUUAGUAGCUACUCAGCUGUAUAUCUCCGAUCACUAGUGAUGCCACAACACAAGGAGGGUGAAGACAAGCAUACGCCUCCUCCAACACAUGUUUAGUCAGCCACCAGCAGCUAAUGGCAAGCUGCAUGACCGGGAUUCAAACCAGUGAUCGGUGCCCUGCGUCUUUAUUUCUACACUGGAGCUACAAGGUAAGCUUAUGGUGCAAGCUAACAAGUAAUAUAAUGUUUCUACAUUACCUGUAGUUA